ACUACGCCUUGGAAAAGGCGCGCGAAGC
rnacentral:sRNA from 1 species